UACGUAGGGUGCGAGCGUUAAUCGGAAUUAUUGGGCGUAAAGAGCUCGUAGGCGGUUUGUCGCGUCGACUGUGAAAACCUACAGCUUAACUGUGGGCUUGCAGUCGAUACGGGCAGACUUGAGUUCGGUAGGGGAGACUGGAAUUCCUGGUGUAGCGGUGAAAUGCGCAGAUAUCAGGAGGAACACCGGUGGCGAAGGCGGGUCUCUGGGCCGAUACUGACGCUGAGGAGCGAAAGCGUGGGGAGCGAACAGG
rnacentral:rRNA from 1 species